rnacentral:rRNA from 1 species
AGACAGUUCGGUCCCUAUCCGUCGUGGGCGUAGGAAAUUUGAGAGGAGCUGUCCUUAGUACGAGAGGACCGGGAUGGACAUACCGCUGGUGUACCAGUUGUUCUGCCAAGGGCAUCGCUGGGUAGCUAUGUAUGGAUGAGAUAAACGCUGAAAGCAUCUAAGUGCGAAACUCACCUCGAGAUAAGAUUUCCCAUUCCUUUAUGGAAGUAAGACCCCUGAGAGAUGAUCAGGUAGAUAGGAUGGAAGUGGAAGUACGGUGACGUAUGGAGCGGACCAUUACUAAUCGGUCGAGGACUUAA